rnacentral:rRNA from 1 species
CACGUAGGGUGCGAGCGUUGUCCGGAAUUAUUGGGCGUAAAGAGCUCGUAGGCGGCGUGUCGCGUCGGCCGUGAAAACCUGCAGCUUAACUGUGGGCGUGCGGUCGAUACGGGCAUCACUGGAGUUCGGCAGGGGAGACUGGAAUUCCUGGUGUAGCGGUGAAAUGCGCAGAUAUCAGGAGGAACACCGGUGGCGAAGGCGGGUCUCUGGGCCGAUACUGACGCUGAGGAGCGAAAGCGUGGGGAGCAAACAGG